rnacentral:rRNA from 1 species
UGAGGAAUAUUGGGCAAUGCCCGCAAGGGUGACCCAGCAACGCCGCGUGGAGGAUGAAUGUCGUAAGAUUGUAAACUCCUGUUAGAGGGGAAGAAUAGUACCGGUUGGACCGGUAUAUGACUGUACCCUCAGAGAAAGCCCCGGCUAACUACGUGCCAGCAGCCGCGGUAAUACGUAGGGUGCAAGCGUUGUCCGGAUUUACUGGGUGUAAAGGUCGCGCAGGCGGGAUAAAAAGUCAGUGGUGAAAUCCUACAGCUUAACUGUAGAACUGCCGAUGCUACUUUUAUUCUUUAGUUCGGGAGAGAGGGACGGAAUUCCAGGUGUAGUGGUGAAAUACGUAGAUAUCUGGAAGAACACCAGUUGCGAAGGCGGUCUCUUGGUCCGACACUGACGCUGAGGCGCGA